UACGUAGGGUGCAAGCGUUGUCCGGAAUUAUUGGGCGUAAAGAGCUCGUAGGCGGUCUGUCGCGUCUGCUGUGAAAAUCCAGGGCUCAACCCUGGACCUGCAGUGGGUACGGGCAGACUAGAGUGCGGUAGGGGAGAUUGGAAUUCCUGGUGUAGCGGUGGAAUGCGCAGAUAUCAGGAGGAACACCGAUGGCGAAGGCAGAUCUCUGGGCCGUAACUGACGCUGAGGAGCGAAAGCAUGGGGAGCGAACAGG
rnacentral:rRNA from 1 species